CCAGUGAUUCCAGCUUCUCAAGGCCCAACGGCAGGAUCUGUCUCAAUGGCUUGACUGUUAGUAUCAAAACGUAGAGUCACUCCACUUCUGUCAUGGGCCACAACUCCCAAGUGGACCUCAGAUUAUAUUUUUGGAAGGUGAUGCUGCUAGGGAUUCCUAGAAACUAGGGAUUCCUUUCUGUAAGCCCAGCAAUGGAUAUAGUUGUUCUAUAAUGAUGAAGACUUGGAAUACCUUCAUUGCCAUUAUGCUGGAAUAAGAAAGCUUUACUUUUUUUACUAUAUGUUCUUCUCUUUCUAAUUUUUUGUUCUUAGUUUUAUUUUUGAAACAUUUUUUACAUUGUUAUUGUAUGUACAUAAUUUUGUUUCUUAAUUUUUCCAGUUUCCCAAGUCUUUUUCAUAUUUCUGAAUACUAUUCACAUUUUUAAAAAAUCUGUCAUAUUUCACUGAAUACCAUUCUACAUAAUUUAGGUAUUUCAAUUUUUUUCUUACU
rnacentral:lncRNA from 1 species